rnacentral:rRNA from 1 species
UACGUAGGGACCAAGCGUUGUUCGGAUUUACUGGGCGUAAAGGGCGCGUAGGCGGCGUGUUAAGUCAGCUGUGAAAUCUCCAAGCUUAACUUGGAACGGUCAGCUGAUACUGAUGUGCUAGAGCGCAGAAGGGGCAACCGGAAUUCUUGGUGUAGCGGUGAAAUGCGUAGAUAUCAAGAGGAACACCUGAGGUGAAGACGGGUUGCUGGGCUGACACUGACGCUGAGGCGCGAAAGCUAGGGUAGCAAACGGG